CGCCUCCGCCUCCGCCUCCGCCCUCGCCCAGUGCUUUGGCGGCUCGGGCCUGGUCAACGCGAGCUCGGGGCUGGGUAGCCCGCGCCACCGUCAGGUUGCUAGGAUGAUUAUGCAGAUCUCUCAGAUAUAGGGAAAAAAUUCAGCCACCUCACCCAGAUUCUGCAAUCCCUACGAGGCUGCAUCUGAAAUACUGAAGAGAAACUGACCACCCAAGAUGGACAAGCAAAACAAACUAACAUACUUUAAAAACGCAAAUAGAAGUUCAAGGAC